rnacentral:rRNA from 1 species
AUUCCAGCUCCAAUAGCGUAUAUUAAAGUUGUUGCAGUUAAAAAGCUCGUAGUUGGAUUUCUGGUGCAUUCCACUGGCCUAUUGGUUAACUCCAACUUGGCUCAUUUGGAAUACGCCAUCUUUAGGCAGACCCGUCGUGGCAUUAGGUUGUCGUGAUGGUUACGCCUAUCGUUUACUGUGAAGAAAUUAGGGUGUUCAAAGCAGGCUUAUGCCAUGAAUACGUUAGCAUGGAAUAAUUAGAUAGGACUAUGGUACUAUUUUGUUGGUUUGUGCACCAUGGUAAUGAUUAAUAGGGACAGUUGGGGGUAUUCGUAUUCCAUUGUCAGAGGUGAAAUUCUUGGAUUUAUGGAAGACGAACUACUGCGAAAGCAUUUACCAAGGAUGUUUUCAUCA